ACCGCUCGCUUUGUUUUCCUUACU
rnacentral:miRNA from 1 species